rnacentral:rRNA from 1 species
AUUGAACGCUGGCGGCAUGCUUUACACAUGCCAGUCGAACGGUAACAGGCCUUCGGGUGCUGACGAGUGGCGAACGGGUGAGUAAUGCAUCGGAACGUGCCCAGAGGUGGGGGAUAACGCAGCGAAAGCUGUGCUAAUACCGCAUGUGAUCUGAGGAUGAAAGCGGGGGACCAGGCAGCAAUGUUUGGCCUCGCGCCUUUGGAGCGGCCGAUGUCAGAUUUGGUAGUUGGUGGGGUAAAGGCCUACCAAGCCGACGAUCUGUAGCUGGUCUGAGAGGACGACCAGCCACACUGGGACUGAGACACGGCCCAGACUCCUACGGGAGGCAGCAGUGGGGAAUUUUGGACAAUGGGCGCAAGCCUGAUCCAGCAAUGCCGCGUGCGGGAAGAAGGCCUUCGGGUUGUAAACCGCUUUUGUACGGAACGAAAAGGCUCUGGCUAAUACCUGGGGCUGAUGACGGUACCGUAAGAAUAAGCACCGGCUAACUACGUG